UUGAAGAGCAGUAGUUUUUUCUUCAGUGGUGAUGGUUAAAUAAUAAGUGAAUUGAAAUCUGUGCAUUUCUAGAGGGAGAGGACUUUUAAGGACAAGAGGGAAUUCUGGAUGAUCAGAAUAAGCAGAUCUCACAUGGGAACAGUGACACCAGUGGCUCUGUUCAGGCUUCCUGCUUUUCUCCAGCAAAAAGAGGCCUUCCCACAUCCCUUGCCCAACAAACAGGGAUUAGAGAUUAUUUUUCUCUGCAGAGAACCUCCUGAAGAGAGGGGCUGGAGAAAUGAUGAGUGAAAAACACAUUAUGAUGUGGAGGAGAGGGUGAGAAAGACAGACAAGAGCUUUCUUCAGUAGAGGUGUUUGGCUGAUCCAAGCCCAGAAGCACAUAAAAAGAA